rnacentral:rRNA from 1 species
AAACUGAAGAGUUUGAUCAUGGCUCAGAUUGAACGCUGGUGGUAUGCUUAACACAUGCAAGUCGAACGGUAACAUUGGAGCUUGCUCCAGAUGACGAGUGGCGGACGGGUGAGUAACGCGUAGGAAUCUGCCUAGUAGUGGGGGACAACAUGUGGAAACGCAUGCUAAUACCGCAUACGCCCUACGGGGGAAAGCGGGGGAUCUUCGGACCUCGCGCUAUUAGAUGAGCCUGCGUUAGAUUAGCUAGUUGGUGGGGUAAUGGCUCACCAAGGCGACGAUCUAUAGCUGGUCUGAGAGGACGAUCAGCCACACUGGGACUGAGACACGGCCCAGACUCCUACGGGAGGCAGCAGUGGGGAAUAUUGGACAAUGGGCGCAAGCCUGAUCCAGCAAUA